rnacentral:tmRNA from 1 species
UGGCUGGCUCCGAACCUGGCCUCAGGGGAGGGGCGAGACCAUUGAGGCUGGUCCCGCGGUGAUCCUGCCGAUCGGAGUGCCGCGGGGCGAGAGGUUGGAGAGUAGACCGGCUAUCGACGUAGACGCCUGCGGCUGAGGGUUCCCGGACGUGGGUUCGAUUCCCACCGCCUCCACCA